rnacentral:rRNA from 1 species
AGAGUUUGAUCAUGGCUCAGGACGAACGCUGGCGGCGUGCUUAACACAUGCAAGUCGAGCGGAAAGGCCCUUCGGGGUACUCGAGCGGCGAACGGGUGAGUAACACGUGAGCAAUCUGCCUUAGCUUCGGGAUAGCUCCGGGAAACCGGAAUUAAUACCGGAUAUGACGUCGGCCGACAUCGGCUGACGUGGAAAGAUUU